GGGAGGAGCCAAGAUGGCCGAAUAGGAACAGCUCCUGUCUACAGCUCCCAGCUUGAGCCACGCAGAAGAUGGGUGAUUUCUGCAUUUCCAUCUGAGGUACCAGGCUACACCCUGCAAGGUCAUUAUCAUUAGCUGCACUUUACAGGAGAGGAAGCUGAGGCUCAGAGAAGCAAACUGCCCUCCUACUUAUGUUGAAGACUUUCCCAUCCUAUGAGCCCAGGUGGGAGAAGCUGAAAAUGGCAGAAGGUCACUUUUCCAGCUGCCCUGUGCCUGGUGAGCCUGUGACACAGACCCCGUUGCUCACAUAUCCACCCAGUUUGGUGCCAUAGGUGGUAGUAGUAAUUGUUUCAGAUAAGAUUCAUCAAUGGAUGUUAAAAUAAUGACUGAAAGAAAGACGAGAAAUAAGAUAUUUACAUAGCCUCCAAACACAUUCCUUCAAUUGUAUGGGGGAAAGAGGAACUUUACAGUGAAGAAACCUGGUAGGCACCACCUGAACUCAGUGAUAAAACUUAAUAUCCUGAGUAACGGAACAAAUCAACACCAGAUGCCUCUUGAUAGAAUGCAGUGAGCUGAACACACCAUCACUUCCUGGAAUUCCCGCAAAAAUGCACAACCUGAAUUUACUCAUAGGGAAACAUCAGAAGAAGCCAAACUGAGCUUCAGUCUACAGAGUAACUGGUUUGUUUUCCUCAACAUCAUUUUAAUAAUUUUUAUUAAGUUUUUUUAAGGUGUUAGGCCACCCAGGUGUUUUGCAACCUGCAUAGCACCGAACCAAUGUAAGGGCAUUCUUAAAGUUUUGGUGUUGAUGAAGGCCAUGCUGAUGAGGAAACUACCUAAAUGGGCACUAUUCCAGGAACUGGACUGUCAUGUUUCAAGGGAUCCUCAGGUACAGCAGGUGGACUGAGAGGGAACAGAGGAGAACGAGGAAUGUUGGAGAGACGAGGGCCCUGAAUACGGUGUUCAGCAUCUAGAUCACAAUUAAUAACUUUGUGUCUCCGUUUUCUACCCUCAUUUGUGCUCCACGGCUGCAAAACGAUGAAAUAUUGAUUCCUUCCUCUAGUGAAUCAAUGUGGAUGUUGUAUGGCAAAGAUGAAGGCAGAGAGCUCAUGCUUUCUUUGUGCCCCACCCUGAACACUAUACUACGAGCCAGUGUGUUGCAGUGGUUAAGCGCUCAGGCUCCGGAAUCAGUUUCUUCAUCUGUAAAAUGCGGAUAAUGAUAAUGCAUGGUUCAUAGGCAUGAUGUGAGGAGUAAAUGGGAUAUUGAGUAUAAGGUGCUUAGCACCAUGCCUGGUCCACCAUGAACACUGAAUAAAUGUUGGCAUUGAGUGUGACUAGAAGGGCUAAUGCUUGUACUUUGCAUGCCAACAUUCUCCUCUGGUGUGAAGUACAGAGAAAUUAAGAGUAGCAAAGGGAAUUUGGACUUAAGAUCAAAUACUCAUUUCACAGACAAGGAAGCUGAGUGCUGGGGGAGAUGUCUGGUCUCCCCUGGGUUAGCACAUGGUGCACCUCCAACGUUUCCCCUCCCUAUUGCCAGGGUCCUCUGUCACCUCCACUUGUGCUAACCUUGGUGCUUGGAGAGGUGGGCAGGGAGCUCGUAACUCCAUAAUUGCCUUGUGGAUUUUAUGGGGCCAUAUAACGGUGUGCUGUGCAAACUUUUAUGAGUAUUUAUUUUACAAUGUCUAUUGAAACCAUUAACACUUUCAUUAGCUAGAUUCAGGGGCUGAGAGAAGCUUGGCUUCCCC
ensembl:lncRNA novel transcript, antisense to EPHB1